GACGUAGGGCGCGAGCGUUGUCCGGAUUUAUUGGGCGUAAAGAGCUCGUAGGCGGCUUGUUGCGUCGACCGUGAAAACUUGGGGCUUAACCUUAAGCUUGCGGUUGAUACGGGCAGGCUAGAGUUCGGUAGGGGAGACUGGAAUUCCUGGUGUAGCGGUGAAAUGCGCAGAUAUCAGGAGGAGCACCAAUGGCGAAGGCAGCUCGCUGGGACGGUACUGACGCUGAGACGCGAAAGCGUGGGGAGCAAACAGG
rnacentral:rRNA from 1 species